rnacentral:lncRNA from 1 species
GCGCGCUAGCGUAUGUGUGCUCGCUCGUGGGUAAAGGAGCAUGCGCCUGGCGACUUACGUACUCGUAAGUAAAGGAGCAUGCGCGCGUGGCGACUUACAUGCUCGUAUGUAGAGGAGCCUGCGCGCUAGCGCAUGUGUGCUCGCUCGUAAGUAGAAGGAGCAUGCAACUGGCGACUUACGUACUCGUAAGUAAAGAAGCAUGCGCGCGUGGCGACUUACGUGCUCGUAAGUAAGGGAGCAUGCGCGCGUGGCGACUUACGUGCUCGAAUGUAGAGGAGCAUGCGCGCUAGCGCAUGUGUGCUCGCUCGUAAGUAGAAGGAGCAUGCGCGUAUGGCGACUUACGUGCUCGUGUGUAGAAGAGCAUGCGCGGAUGGCGACUUACGUGCUCAUUUGUAGAGGAGCAUGCGCGGAUGGCGACUUACGUGCUCAUGUGUAGAGCAGCAGUCUCGCACGGAGACUAGCGUGCUCGUAAGUAAAGGAGCAUGCGCGGAUGGCGACUUACGUGCUCAUGUGUAGAGCAGAAGUCUCGUACGGAGACUAGCGUGCUCGUAUGUAAAGGAGCAUGCGCGUAUAGCGGCUUACGUGCUCAUAAAUAGAGGAGCAUGCGUGCAAAACGCAUGUGUGCUCGCUCGUAUGUAGAAGGAGCAUGCGACUAGCGACUUAUAUACUCGUAAGUAAAGGAGCAUGAACGCGUUGCGACUUACGUGCUCGUAUGUAGGGGAGCAUGCGCGGAUGGCGACUUACGUGCUCGGAUGUAGAGGAGCAUGCGCGGAUGGCGACUUACGUGCUCAUAAAUAGGGGAGCAUGCGUGCAAAACGCAUGUGUGCUCGCUCGUAAGUAGAAGGAGCAUGCGCGUAUGGCGACUUACGUGCUCGUAUGUAGAGGAGCAUGCGCGCUAGCGCAUGUGUGCUCGUUCGUAAGUAGAAGGAGCGUGCGCGUAUGGCGACUUACGUGCUCGUAUGUAGAGGAGCAUGUGCGCUAGCGCAUGUGUGCUCGCUCGUAAGUAGAAGGAGCAUGCGCGUAUGGCGACUUACGUGCUCGUAUGUAGAGGAGCAUGAGCGGAUGACGACUUACGUGCUCAUAAAUAGAGGAGCAUGCGUGCAAAACGCAUGUGUGCUCGCUCGUAUGUAGAAGGAGCAGGCGCGUAUGGCGACUUACGUGCUCG